rnacentral:snRNA from 1 species
GUACUAGCUUCAGCAGUACAUAUUCUAAAAUUGGAACGAUACAUAGAAGAUUAACAUGGCCUCUGUGCAAGAAUGACACACAAAUUCAUGAAGCGUUCCAUAUUUUC